GUGGCAGCAGCCGCGGUAAUACGAAGGGGGCUAGCGUUGUUCGGAAUUACUGGGCGUAAAGCGCACGUAGGCGGAUACUUAAGUCAGGGGUGAAAUCCCGGGGCUCAACCCCGGAACUGCCUUUGAUACUGGGUAUCUCGAGUCCGGAAGAGGUGAGUGGAAUUCCGAGUGUAGAGGUGAAAUUCGUAGAUAUUCGGAGGAACACCAGUGGCGAAGGCGGCUCACUGGUCCGGUACUGACGCUGAGGUGCGAAAGCGUGGGGAGCAAACAGGAUUAGAUACCCCUGUAGUC
rnacentral:rRNA from 1 species